ACACUGUGUCCAAAGGACGCAGUGGAAUCUUUCAAACAUAUUUUAGGUUACAUGGUGAUAUUACGCAAUUUUCUAGAAAGUACUAAUAAGAAUUCGGAGCGAAUAGACUUACUAAUACGACCACACAAUGAGGCAAGCGAUAAGAUACACUGGGUGAGCAUCGUGGACGUAAUCGUGAAAUCGAUCUCAUGGUGGACCACGGUGGUUGCGGUGAAUACAGACAUGAAACAAAAGGUGUUUGUCAUCACUUUCGCCAUCAUUCUCGACGUCACUUCCGUUGAGACGGGAAUAAAGGUGUUACAGAAGAAGUUCCUUUUAGAUGGCAAGAACAACACUUGUGAUUUCAAUGCCAACACACUGUGCUCUUGGAGCAACGUUUAUAAUUUGAAAGCCGGUGAAGUAAGCGACGACUUUGAUUGGACGUUAUAUGCUGGCAACACUCCAACUGACGACACGGGGCCAAGCGUUGAUCAUACAACGGGAACAGAUAAAGGUACUUAUGCAUUCAUCGAAUCAAGCGCUCCCAGAGUUUUGGGAGAAAAGGCUUGGAUGGAGAGCCCGGAGAUACCCGCGCUCGGACAGUCCGUUGUCUGUUUACGGUUUUGGUACCAUAAAUAUGGUGAACAAAUGGGUAACCUGAGUGUCUACCAGCAUCAGCAUGGUCCCCGGCCUGGCAACCUUGUCUGGAGUGACGUCACUGAACACGGGGACCGGUGGUUAUCGGCGCAGAUUCCGCUACUGGCCUAUGUGAACUUCCGGAUCAUCUUGGAAGGUGUCGUAGGGAAUGGAUUCCUUGGGGAUAUUGCCGUCGACGACGUUAGCGUUGGCAAUGGCUACUGUUUGGUUACACCACCGGAGGCGUCUCGGAGCAACGUCACUCCUCCGCCUGUGACAUCAGUUCCGUCCCCUGUGGACGGUGUCUGGUCCACGUGGUCAGCCUGGUCCGCAUGCACAGUCACCUGUGGAGGCGGGGCAGUGACUCGGCACAGGGCGUGUAAUUAUCCAUCAGGGGCACCACAUGGUCAGAACUGCACGGGGAAUGUCGCAGAGGGGCGCUCGUGCAAUACGGACAUCUGUCCAGUUGGCGCUGCCUCGGGUCCAAUGUGCAUGGACUGUUCGAGACUACCUUCCCCUAGCGACUGUAACCACGUAAUCAAGUGUGCAGAACACGAGGUUUGUCACGUGACCCAAAUCUUUUCCGGUGGAGGGCAUCUGUUCUAUGAUAUGGGCUGCCAGGCUACGUCUCGAUGCCCGAGAUCAAUCAGGGCUCACAACUCCACGGUCACUCGGCGUACCAAUGGGGACAACGAGACCUGCAUUGAGUGUUGCCAAGGCGACUAUUGCAACCGCCAGGGAUGCGGUUCACAGCCUAUACCAGACGUCACCAUCCGUGGACCGAUUUGCUUUAAAUGUGACGUACAGGAAACAAUUGACUCCUGUGAGACAGUGGUCGACUGUGGAUCGGACAACGAAUGCUUCUUGUCUACUGUAGUCACCCCUCUUACCAACACAGUGAAGUACACGAGUAAAUGCAUGGCCAAAGGAGCGUGCGAUACACUGCGAAGCUCUGGACUAUUUGGGAGGAGAAGCAAUGCGUGUGUUGGCUGCUGUAAGGAAGACUUCUGUAACACCGAUUGCUCUCGAGCACAAUCGGUGGUCACCAAAUUCACAUCCGCAACCAAAGCUUCAAGCACUUCAACCAGGCAUCCAACAGCACAUCCCACAACAACCCAUUUGCAUGUGCCGUCCACCACGAGGGCAACCACAACCACUAUCGCCCCUACAACAACCCGCCGAUUAUCACAAGAACAGGUUUGCAGAAAGGCUGGUUACAGCUACAUCAACGUAACCCAUGCCGAAAUACCCUAUCACUAUUGUGUGCGCGUGCGCAGUGACGUCACCCUGUCAUGGCAUCAGGCGCAGAGCACUUGCAAACACGAUGGUGGCAAUCUCGUUGUGUUCCACGACAAAGACGAGGGUAAAUACUUCGACAGAUGGCUCCAGUCCCUGAACCCGGAUGUUGAUAAUGCGAGGCUCCCUGAUUACCACAAACAAUAACAACAUCGGGAACGCUGUCAACAUCAUCACUGUAAGAGUAGUCGUCUGUUAUAACCCGACAACAUUGACAUGGCACUCGUGAACCAUUAACAUUAAUUUUACGCAUAGAUUUGUUUCUAUGUUUGCCUUCCGUUCUAUGUUUGGAUGUUUUGAACGGGCUUUUUAUGAGACCCUAGCUACUUAGUGGGGAACGAUAAAAACGAUUGACUAGUUUAGUCGUGUUAACGGUACUUUCAUAUAUGUAUGCAUAAAGGUCAGUACCAGGUUAAUACUGAAAAGCUAUAAUGGUGCCAAAAGUAUGAUAUAAUAAAAAAAUAAAACGCUUUCAUAAUAUAAAUAGUUAUAUCCAUCAGGCCAAAUGCUGCGUGCCGGAAAGUUACCUUGAAACUUUGACCAACGUUCUUUUAAUGACAGUAAUAUAACGUUAAUGUUGCAGAUGGAUUUUCUAUCUUCAACAUGUUUGUAACAUAAAACCAUAGCAUCAAAAUGUAACAUAAAACCAUAGCACCAAAGAAUUAAUUGAAUUGUUGAAAUGCAAAUAAAAAUUGCGCAGAUCUCGCACAUUAUUAAAAAACACGUUGGGACGAAACUUUUGUCUUAAAUUUGCAUUGUUAUUUAUUAUUUCAGCAAAACUUAGACACUAAUCGAGCGAAUUUAAUGCGAUUUUCCUACACCGCUGCAGCAGGACAAACUUUCAUGUUUUUUGUUGAUGAUACAAUAACUAAGUUGAUCGUUCGUGUGCAGGCGGAGAGAUCACAACCUGUUAUCAUUGCAAUUACGCCAUCAGGUACAUACAGGACUGAAAGUGCUUGUGCUUACUUCCUCAUAAAAUUCCAAAAAUGCUUAGCUUAAACUAUAUUAUUCAUAAUGAUGUAUGUUAAUUUCAUGAGAUCAUACGCCAAAUUUCAUGAUUGUACGGCUCUUGUAAUCUGACAAUCAUCAAGUGUUGUUAAAGUCGGAAUAUUGUUUAGUCACGCACCGAUUUGAAAUCACCGGAAUAAAAAACAUGAUAAAAUUGUCUUUAAGGGGUACCAUCUUGUUUAAGACCCACGUAUAUCGGAUCUGUGUCCGCAGGAUCGGUUGUAGCUCUUCUAUAAAUCAACAUCACACAGGCAGCCGAUUACGGUAUUUGGAAAUUUUUGAAAAUGGACAACCACAUAUGGGAGUCACCAUUCAGGCUACAAUUCCAGUGGAUUUCACACACAAAUUUGAAGAGUCUGAGAUAGGUGGUUCUGGAGAAUACGAAAUAAAGGGACGACCAAUCUCCGGUAAGACGUUUAUUAGACUGCAAUAUUCAAUAGAGCUGUAACGAUUCACCCAUCAUUCGAUUCGAUUUCGAUACCAAAUGGUCCGAUUCGAUUAUUUUCGAUUCGAUUCAAAUUAAACUAUUUGCUGCUUAUUUUGCAAAAUAUUUCAUGUUUGGUUUGUCCAGGGCAUGAAUUAAUAUGUGUGGUAUUUGUUAUUAACUUAUUAAAUUAUUAUGUUGUACAUUUAAAGUGUUUAAUUUGUGAAAUAAAAUUUAAAAACGCAA